UACGUAGGGGGCGAGCGUUGUCCGCAGUUACUGGGCGUAAAGGGCGCGUAGGCGGCUCUGUGCGUCACCCGUGAAAGCCCCCGGCUCAACCGGGGAGGGUCGGGUGAAACGGCGGAGCUGGAGGCAGCGAGAGGCUGGUGGAAUUCCCGGAGUAGUGGUGAAAUGCGUAGAGAUCGGGAGGAACACCGGUGGCGAAGGCGGCCAGCUGGCGCUGACCUGACGCUGAGGCGCGAAGGCGUGGGGAGCGAACGGG
rnacentral:rRNA from 1 species